rnacentral:tRNA from 2 species
AAAGAAUUAGUUUUAAAUAAAAACAUUUAUAUGUCAUAUAAAAAAUAUCAAGAUUAUUUGAUAAUCUUUA